CGGGCUGGGGAGCGUCAGGGGGCCCAAGGCCUUCCUGGCGAGCGUCGCAGGGCUCAGGGCUCCGGCAGGGCGCCUCGGCUCCCCCGGAGCGUCCACGGAGGUGUCGGAGAUCCCGAGGGUCCGGGGGUUGGGGGGGCGUGAAGUGGCAGCAAGACAUGCAGUUACUGACCUCUUAUUAGCCAGACGACGCGUUAAUGACACGUUCCAAUGGAAGGUUCGACGCAUGGGGAGGUACAAUUCCCCUAAGCAAGGCAAGUGUCAUGCCAACUACGAUAAAAAACGAAAAAUACACAAAAAAAAUACAAAAACAAAAAAUCCAAAAAAAAUUGUCUUGUUUUGCUUUGUUUAAAGCGUCUUGUAUGUUGGUAUGGCGGGUCUUCUAUGGGGAGAAGGAGACUAACGCGUUCCAACAUACAAAACCAGGAAAAGACGACAUGGAAACACAGAGAGAAGGAAGGGAAGAAGGGAACACCAGAAGAAGGAAAAUGAAGAGAAGUAACACUAGAAGAAGGCAUAUGAAGUAACACAAGAAGAAGGAAGUUGAAAAGAGUAACACAAGAAGAAGGAAUUUGAAAAGAGUAACACAAGAAGAGGGAAUUUGAAAAGAGUAACACAGAAGAAGGUAUUGAAAAGAGUAACACAGAAGAAGGUAUUGAAAAGAGUAACACAGAAGAAGGUAUUGAAAAGAGUUACACAGAAGAAGGUAUUGAAAAGAGUUACACAGAAGAAGGUAUUGAAAAGAGUAACACAGAAGAAGGUAUUGAAAAGAGUUACACAGAAGAAGGUAUUGAAAAGAGUAACACAGAAGAAGGUAUUGAAAAGAGUUACACAGAAGAAGGUAUUGAAAAGAGUAACACAGAAGAAGGUAUUGAAAAGAGUAACACAGAAGAAGGAAUUUGAAAAGAGUUACACAGAAGAAGGUAUUGAAAAGAGUUACACAGAAGAAGGUAUUGAAAAGAGUUACACAGAAGAAGGUAUUGAAAAGAGUUACACAGAAGAAGGUAUUGAAAAGAGUAACACAGAAGAAGGUAUUGAAAAGAGUAACACAGAAGAAGGUAUUGAAAAGAGUAACACAGAAGAAGGUAUUGAAAAGAGUUACACAGAAGAAGGUAUUGAAAAGAGUAACACAGAAGAAGGAAUUUGAAAAGAGUAACACAGAAGAAGGUAUUGAAAAGAGUAACACAGAAGAAGGAAUUUGAAAAGAGUUACACAGAAGAAGGUAUUGAAAAGAGUUACACAGAAGAAGGAAUUUGAAAAGAGUAACACAAGAAGAAGGAA